GCCCAUAUAAAUACUGUAAGCACGCGGUAUUUGUUCUCUUAGAAACGAAGGAAAGCGAAGUGGUGGAAGAAAUAUCGAUUACUCUGUCUGACAUAAGGGAUUUCAAUCUUCAGUGUUCCAUUGGGGACAAGUGAAACCUGAUCCUUGUACACAAUUUCCUGCUGCAUAAGAUGGAUAUUACAAAUAGGGGAGUUAAAUCUUCAUUCUACUGGAGGAAUAUAAUCAGUACUACUUUGGGAGGAAGUGAAACCUAAUCCUAAUGUAAAAAUGGACAAUGGGUAUUUGCCAUGACACCAUUCUUAGUUUGAAGUUCUACAUGUACCUCAGUUCUGUCAGUAGGAAGCAUUAAAGUCUCCAUUCAACUAGGUUGGGACGGUCAAGUAAAGAACAAAUGUUCUUUAAGGAUAUUUUUAACCUUAUGGAGUUAGUAAAAAACAAGUAUUGAAGUGGUAUCUUGUUCGAGCUAAUGACACAAGGUGCAGAUCGAGCAAUGAAGAUUGGUAGAGAUGAACUCUGUAUUACUGAAUUUGUGUGGAAAAUAAAAAAUCUUGAUUUUUA